rnacentral:rRNA from 1 species
AGAGUUUGAUCCUGGCUCAGGACGAACGCUGGCGGCGUGCCUAAUACAUGCAAGUAGAACGCUGAAGAGAGGAGCUUGCUCUUCUUGGAUGAGUUGCGAACGGGUGAGUAACGCGUAGGUAACCUGCCUUGUAGCGGGGGAUAACUAUUGGAAACGAUAGCUAAUACCGCAUAACAAUGGAUGACCCAUGUCAUUUAUUUGAAAGGGGCAAAUGCUCCACUACAAGAUGGACCUGCGUUGUAUUAGCUAGUAGGUGAGGUAACGGCUCACCUAGGCGACGAUACAUAGCCGACCUGAGAGGGUGAUCGGCCACACUGGGACUGAGACACGGCCCAGACUCCUACGGGAGGCAGCAGUAGGGAAUCUUCGGCAAUGGGGGCAACCCUGACCGAGCAACGCCGCGUGAGUGAAGAAGGUUUUCGGAUCGUAAAGCUCUGUUGUAAGUCAAGAACGAGUGUGAGAGUGGAAAGUUCACACUGUGACGGUAGCUUACCAGAAAGGGACGGCUAACUACGUGCCAGCAGCCGCGGUAAUACGUAGGUCCCGAGCGUUGUCCGGAUUUAUUGGGCGUAAAGCGAGCGCAGGCGGUUUGAUAAGUCUGAAGUUAAAGGCUGUGGCUCAACCAUAGUUCGCUUUGGAAACUGUCAAACUUGAGUGCAGAAGGGGAGAGUGGAAUUCCAUGUGUAGCGGUGAAAUGCGUAGAUAUAUGGAGGAACACCGGUGGCGAAAGCGGCUCUCUGGUCUGUAACUGACGCUGAGGCUCGAAAGCGUGGGGAGCGAACAGGAUUAGAUACCCUGGUAGUCCACGCCGUAAACGAUGAGUGCUAGGUGUUGGAUCCUUUCCGGGAUUCAGUGCCGCAGCUAACGCAUUAAGCACUCCGCCUGGGGAGUACGACCGCAAGGUUGAAACUCAAAGGAAUUGACGGGGGCCCGCACAAGCGGUGGAGCAUGUGGUUUAAUUCGAAGCAACGCGAAGAACCUUACCAGGUCUUGACAUCCCGAUGCUAUUUCUAGAGACAGAAAGUUACUUCGGUACAUCGGUGACAGGUGGUGCAUGGUUGUCGUCAGCUCGUGUCGUGAGAUGUUGGGUUAAGUCCCGCAACGAGCGCAACCCCUAUUGUUAGUUGCCAUCAUUCAGUUGGGCACUCUAGCGAGACUGCCGGUAAUAAACCGGAGGAAGGUGGGGAUGACGUCAAAUCAUCAUGCCCCUUAUGACCUGGGCUACACACGUGCUACAAUGGUUGGUAUAACGAGUUGCGAGUCGGUGACGGCAAGCUAAUCUCUUAAAGCCAAUCUCAGUUCGGAUUGUAGGCUGCAACUCGCCUACAUGAAGUCGGAAUCGCUAGUAAUCGCGGAUCAGCACGCCGCGGUGAAUACGUUCCCGGGCCUUGUACACACCGCCCGUCACACCACGAGAGUUUGUAACACCCGAAGUCGGUGAGGUAACCUUUUGGAGCCAGCCGCCUAAGGUGGGAUAGAUGAUUGGGGUGAAAUCGUAACAAGGUA